UUAAGAACCGGGUUGCACAGCAGGAAGUGAGCAGCAGCUGAGGGAGCAUUAUGACCUGAGUUCCGCUUCCUGUCAGAUCAGCGGCAUUAGAUUCUCAUAGGAGGGCAAACACUAUUGUGAACUGUGCAUGUGAGGGAUCUAGGUUCGCGCUCUUUGUGAGAAUCCAACAGAAACCAUCACCCACUGUGACCCUGGAAAAAUUGUCUUCCACGAAACUCGUCCCUGGUGCCAAAAUGUUGGGGACCGCUGUUGUAGGUCAUAGCUUGCCUGUAGUAUUUUCCUACUGAAUACAAUAUUAUGUAAAUAUUGUCUUACAAAUGCAGGAAGAAGACUGUAAUAAUUUAAGAAGAAAUUUCACCAAAGUGCCUGGCAGCUGUGAAUCUAGAAGUUUGGCACUGUCAAGAAAUGCAUCUGCAGUUCUCAAGAAUUGCAUCAAUCCCACAAGAAUGACACCAAGCAAUUCAUGAAGGAUCUGCCUCCUAUGACCAAAACAGCCCCUACCUGGCCCAUCCUCCAACAUAGGGGAUUAUAUUUCAUUACAUUACUUUCCAACAUGUGGUUUGGAAGGGACAAAUAUUCAAACUAUAUUAAGUAACAAACAGAAAAUAAUGAUGGUGAUAUGUAUAGUACAAAAAAAUCACUGAGUUAUAACUACAUUACUGAUGUAUGUAAUGUGCUGAGUAGCAAUAAAAGUAAUAAGAGUGCCA
rnacentral:lncRNA from 1 species